GGGGAUUUAGCUCAGUGGUAGAGUGCUUGCCUAGCAAGCGCAAGGUCCUGGGUUCAAUCCCCAGCUCCG
rfam:Rattus norvegicus chromosome 9, whole genome shotgun sequence.